GCCCUCGAUGAAGAGUACGUUUAUUCAGAAUGGCUACCAGGUAAACCAGGAAAGGAUAAGUAAGAACCUGCUAAUCUCUUUUUUGAUGAACAUCUUUUGGAUACCUGGUACGAAAUUCAAAGCAAUACUCCUGGAACAUCACAAGAAAUGUUUCUGAGAAGUCUUUCUCAAAUGUCUACUCAAAAUGGCCGGCCUUGUAAGCCAAGUUACAUCAAUCCAAUUCUGUUUUCUAAAGCCUAUGACGAGAAUAAUCUAAUGCGAUAUCGCAUUCAAAAUGAAGUACUUCUCUAUAAACCUGAUAUUUGUUGGGCGUGUGGAGAACACCCAAUUGCUCUUCACGUCGAUGGAAAUUUAAAGUGCUAUCGUUGUAUUACAGCUAAAGGAUUUGAAACCGAUCCUCUCUUUCAAGAUAUCAUGAUAGCAUCUGAUAAAGACGUUAAGGAAUUUUUAGAUCUCAUUAAAAAUGUCAUUCCGCCGCAGUCAAAAAAUAAAGAAAACUGCGGCGCAGCAGUUUACCAGGCUGCUAAAACAACAUCUUCAUCAAUGAAAGGUCUGGAUGAAACUGGUUUGCUCAUUAUGAGCUGCCGUCACGGGUGGGUAUGGAGGGAGCUAAAUUUGUUCAUGGGUGAAACAUACCGCUAUGUACUGUACUUACAUGAGUACGCUAAGGACAAGAAUGUCCGUUUCUUUUGUUCCGAUGUCGUAUGUCAGUACUGGAUUUUCCUUUUGAAAGUCACUCAGACUGAAGAACUAAGAGAAAGAUUUGAAGGUCUUAUUACUUUGACCAUAGACUUUCUCUCGCGAUGGCACGGGAAAACACACGCGUGAUUUUACCAACUACUACACCUUGGAUCUUACAAAAAAGGAGCUGGUGCUACUAGUGGUGAAAGUCAAGAACAAAACAAUGCACACACCAGUCGCUUUGUAACAACAACCAAACACAUGAGUGCAUCUCGAAGAAUAGAUACUUUUAGCGCUAGUUUUAUCAAAGAAAACUGGGAAAUUUGUGUAUUACACUGCCAUUAUAGGUGACACUUAAAGAGAGUGUUAAUCAAAUUAUAGGCUAGGGUAAGUGUAAAAUGGUACCGCAAACAAACAUCCAAGCUGAUGGAUGCGCGACUUGAAAAGGUUAAUCUUCUGUGUGAAAAAGGCGCUUCUCUAAUUGAAGAGCAAAAAGUCACGCUGGUUGACUAUAACCAGAAAUUAGAGCACCUUAGAGUAGAAGGAAACAAGAAUGGAAAAGCGGAAGAAGAAUGGAAGAAAUGGAAAAGCUUAUUACUCUUGUAUGGUUACAGCACUGAUAUACUGUAACAAUAUUGUCACGUGGUCAAUGACCACGUUAUGUGAUCCGGUUAGUAUGCAAUGCUACCGGACGUGUGACGUCAGUGUU